rnacentral:misc_RNA from 1 species
GAUGAAGAACGCAGCGAAAUGCGAUAAGUAAUGCGAAUUGCAGAAUUCAGUGAGUCAUCGAAUCUUUGAACGCACAUUGCGCCCUGUGGUAUUCCGCAGGGCAUGCCUGUUCGAGCGUCAUUUCAACCCUCAAGCUCUGCUUGGUGUUGGGCCCUGCCCGCUGCGGCCGGCCCUAAAGACAGUGGCGGUGCCGCCUGGCCCUGAGCUUAGUACAUCUCUCGCUCCAGUGCCCGGUGGUAGCCUGCCAGAACCCCAACUCUCGUGGUUGACCUCGGAUCAGGUAGGGAUACCCGCUGAACUUAAGCAUAUCAAUAAGCGGAGGA